rfam:TPA: Bos taurus chromosome 25, whole genome shotgun sequence.
UCCCUGGUGGUCCAGUGGUUAAGACUCCUCACUCCCAGUGCAGGGGGCUUGGGUUCAAUCCCUGGUCAGGGAA